UACGAAGGGUGCAAACGUUGCUCGGAAUCAUUGGGCGUAAAGCGCACGUAGGCGGCUUCGCAAGUCGGAUGUGAAAUCCCUCGGCUCAACCGAGGACGUGCAUACGAAACUGCGGAGCUUGAGUGCUGAAGAGGAUCGCGGAAUUCCCCGGUGUAGAGGUGAAAUUCGUAGAUAUCGGGAGGAACACCAGUGGCGAAGGCGGCGAUCUGGGCAGACACUGACGCUGAGGUGCGAAAGCGUGGGGGAGCAAACAGG
rnacentral:rRNA from 1 species